GGUCUGGUGGUGCAGUUGGUUAUCACGUCAGUCUAACAUGCCGAGACGAUCUCACGAUCAUCUCACCGUUCACUGAAGGUCUCCGGUUCAAGUCCGGACUAGAUCA